rnacentral:rRNA from 1 species
AGAGUUUGAUCAUGGCUCAGAUUGAACGCUGGCGGCAGGCCUAACACAUGCAAGUCGAACGGUAACAGGAAACAGCUUGCUGUUUCGCUGACGAGUGGCGGACGGGUGAGUAAUGUCUGGGAAACUGCCUGAUGGAGGGGGAUAACUACUGGAAACGGUAGCUAAUACCGCAUAACGUCGCAAGACCAAAGAGGGGGACCCUCGGGCCUCUUGCCAUCGGAUGUGCCCAGAUGGGAUUAGCUUGUUGGUGGGGUAACGGCUCACCAAGGUGACGAUCCCUAGCUGGUCUGAGAGGAUGACCAGCCACACUGGAACUGAGACACGGUCCAGACUCCUACGGGAGGCAGCAGUGGGGAAUAUUGCACAAUGGGCGCAAGCCUGAUGCAGCCAUGCCGCGUGUAUGAAGAAGGCCUUCGGGUUGUAAAGUACUUUCAGCGGGGAGGAAGGGAGUAAAGUUAAUACCUUUGCUCAUUGACGUUACCCGCAGAAGAAGCACCGGCUAACUCCGUGCCAGCAGCCGCGGUAAUACGGAGGGUGCAAGCGUUAAUCGGAAUUACUGGGCGUAAAGCGCACGCAGGCGGUUUGUUAAGUCAGAUGUGAAAUCCCCGGGCUCAACCUGGGAACUGCAUCUGAUACUGGCAAGCUUGAGUCUCGUAGAGGGGGUAGAAUUCCAGGUGUAGCGGUGAAAUGCGUAGAGAUCUGGAGGAAUACCGGUGGCGAAGGCGGCCCCCUGGACGAAGACUGACGCUCAGGUGCGAAAGCGUGGGGAGCAAACAGGAUUAGAUACCCUGGUAGUCCACGCCGUAAACGAUGUCGACUUGGAGGUUGUGCCCUUGAGGCGUGGCUUCCGGAGCUAACGCGUUAAGUCGACCGCCUGGGGAGUACGGCCGCAAGGUUAAAACUCAAAUGAAUUGACGGGGGCCCGCACAAGCGGUGGAGCAUGUGGUUUAAUUCGAUGCAACGCGAAGAACCUUACCUGGUCUUGACAUCCACGGAAGUUUUCAGAGAUGAGAAUGUGCCUUCGGGAACCGUGAGACAGGUGCUGCAUGGCUGUCGUCAGCUCGUGUUGUGAAAUGUUGGGUUAAGUCCCGCAACGAGCGCAACCCUUAUCCUUUGUUGCCAGCGGUCCGGCCGGGAACUCAAAGGAGACUGCCAGUGAUAAACUGGAGGAAGGUGGGGAUGACGUCAAGUCGUCAUGGCCCUUACGACCAGGGCUACACACGUGCUACAAUGGCGCAUACAAAGAGAAGCGACCUCGCGAGAGCAAGCGGACCUCAUAAAGUGCGUCGUAGUCCGGAUUGGAGUCUGCAACUCGACUCCAUGAAGUCGGAAUCGCUAGUAAUCGUGGAUCAGAAUGCCACGGUGAAUACGUUCCCGGGCCUUGUACACACCGCCCGUCACACCAUGGGAGUGGGUUGCAAAAGAAGUAGGUAGCUUAACCUUCGGGAGGGCGCUUACCACUUUGUGAUUCAUGACUGGGGUGAAGUCGUAACAAGGUAACCGUAGGGGAACCUGCGGUUG